rnacentral:lncRNA from 1 species
AUUCAUUUAUUAAUUUAUUCACUCAAUCACCUGUAUACCAAAUAUGUAUUAAGUAUCUGUUAUGUGCCAGGAACCUGUUCCAGGUUCAGAGAAUACAGUGAAUAAACAGACUGAACCCUGCUCUCAAUGAACAUCUUCAUGUUACUUGAUAUGAGUUCAUUCCUUGAACUAGAACAUCAAUAAGAUGCUGGAGUUUAAUCAACCACAGCAGACUGUGAGGUGGAAGCCACUUGGUGAUUGUGAGCCAGCACCAAGAUCGAAGGCAUUUGGAUCCCUGGUGAUCACAGACCCAGCAUGUCAUCUCUGCAAAGCUUCCCAGAAAGUGUGGAAUAUUGGCCUUCCUUUUCAGAUUCAUGUGAAAGCUUGGAGAAAAGAACACAGACUAAAAGGAAUAUAAAUCCAAAAGAAUGAGUGAAAUGGGAAUACACAAGGCAUGAGCAAUAAGACUGUUCUCUCAGAAACAAUGAGAAUAACUGCUCUACAUCUUACAAACCAGAAACUUACACGUUGUAUCUCAUUAAAUUUUAUUUUGAAUAUUGAGAAC